rnacentral:rRNA from 1 species
UACGAAGGGGGCUAGCGUUGCUCGGAAUUACUGGGCGUAAAGGGCGCGUAGGCGGCGCUGCAAGUCGGACGUGAAAUCCCUCAGCUUAACUGGGGAACUGCGUCCGAUACUGGAUGGCUUGGAUUUGGGAGAGGGAUGCGGAAUUCCAGGUGUAGCGGUGAAAUGCGUAGAUAUCUGGAGGAACACCGGUGGCGAAGGCGGCAUCCUGGACCAAUAUUGACGCUGAGGAGCGAAAGCCAGGGGAGCAAACGGG